AGAUAGAUAGAUAGAUAGAUAGAUAGAUAGAUAGACAAAAUAUUUUCUGUUAGAUAUAGACGGCAGAUAAACAUUUAUGUAGAUGAUGUAUAUAUAGAGUAUUUUAAUUUAAGGGCAUGUUCUGGCUCUUCAAUGAUAUAAAUAGGUUCAUACCAAUCUGUCUUUGAGGUGUGUGUGAUGUAACACAUCUCGACUGACAUAUGAAUGCAAGUUAGCUCGUAAAACAUUUCCUCUGCAGGUAAGACCUGCUCAGGCACUGCCCAAAAAAAUGCACCUCCCGUGACGGCGAAGGGAUGAACGAGCUGCCCGUGUUUGCCGCGGACCGUAGCGCCUGCAUGACGUCAAUAAAGUGAAAUUACAUAAAACUUCGACGCAACAGCCGUUACAGCAGUUCGAGCCCUGGCUGCGCCGCGCUCCCCCAUCCUCACCGAUGGAGUGGUACGGCCCAGUUCCUCUCCUCCUCCUCCUCCUCCUCCUCCUCCUGCUGCUGUGUCCUCCAUCACUCCAUUUCCUUUGAUUCUGUUUCUCCUUGAGGACGGAUUCAGGCCUUCCUGCAGAGCACAGCUCCUGGUUCCUCAUCCCCCGUCUCUCCGCCCUUCUUCGAAAAGAGGACAAGGUGAGCGAGGAUUACAAAGGCAGCAUAAAGAAGAAACCUGCCGGAUUCCUCAACCCCUUGAUCCCAUUCCCACAUGGAAGCAAAAGCCAAGGGAGCGUCGAAGUCUGCCUCCAAAGCAGAGAAGAAGGAGGCAGCGCCGCCGCCGAAACCAGACCCCGUCUCGGCUGAACCCGCGGAGCCCGAGAAGCCGGCGGAAGAUGGAGCCUCCAACCAACAGGGGGCGGCGGAGUCCGCAGGAAGUAGCUGCGAAACCUUAGAAAAUUUGAAGCCUUUCCUGAUCGGAGGAGCUGUCAUCGCCCUUGGCGCUGUAUUGGUGGGCGUAAUCUUAUUAGCCAAAAAAAACUGACCUACGAUUGGUUGUUAGACGGUGGGGUUGAUUAGCUCACAGACUAUUAGAGUUUAUAUAUAAAGGGGCGGGGAGUCACUAGAGAGGUGAGCGUACGUCCUCUUAGUCCUGGACAUGUGCUGGCAAGGAUUUCCGAAUUGCCAGAAAUGAUCAGGUUUUGGCUUUGGUUUUCGAAAAAAAGUGGCAUGCAGGCAUUGUGCGUAGUCGACCAACCGUGGCCCCACGAGAAAGACGGGACCCGCAGAGAGCGGCCGAAGCCGUGCAGAUUCGCACAGGUACAACGUACGAAGGCCACAGAGGUGGCUUCAGCAGGAAAAACAAAGUCAAAACCCGGGCAUUUUAAGCAAUCUGGAAACCUCGACCGGGGCAUGCCCCGGAAAACGAGCACGUAUGGUCGCUCUACACACUAGGCGUCUUAAUUUUACGCUGUCCUUUUAAUUUCAGUGCUUGUGGUGACGUUCCUGCCAGCUAUUAGAGCAAGCUAGAGAUGCAUUUAGGCCAAACACGUUUCCUAAAACAUUAAACUUAGUCGUAGCCAAUGCACAUUUCCAUCCUAGUCACUCUGCCUGCGGGGCUGAUGCUCAAAAACACCCUCAUCCACGCCGUAAUGUUGAUAUUAAACCAAUUAUCCAAAAAAUAUUUCCGUUUUUCAAGCUGGAACUGAAUCCAUAACCGCCAACUGUACGAUACAAUAAAGUUAAGAUGCAUGACUCAAGGUUAAAAACACACUCAUUUGUAGAAAUUAAACGCUAUUUACGUCUUGAAACCAAUAAGAGCGAUUGGUUUCGCACUUAAAUGCUUGCGCAAAUCCAUAUGUACAUAUCGAGCCACCGACAUCUAUUACAGUCAGGCCUGUAUUGCUGAGAGGAGGUGUGGAAAUGCAAAGAAAAUCUCAAAUAUUAUAUGGGUUCAUUUCGUAUUUGGCAUCGGUUAUCGAACGAACGCCAGUCAUCCAGUGACCUCGCGCACUGUAGACCAUCUGUGCCAUUUCAAAAAUCUUAGUUUCUUGCUCGAAAGACGAUUUUCCGAAGUGGGCCCGCGGAAAUAGAUGCGCGACGCAACAUAGAUGCAACGUAGAUUACGGCGGCUCUCGGCCAAACAGCUUCGAUUUCGCAGUUACACUACGACGAGCGCUGCACACGACAGAAACGAUCCCUGAAUGCAUGCGGACACAAACAAUAUACACUCACACGUCACACGACAUACUGUCACAGAAAAUGACAUUUUCUUUAAAGUGCGUAUGUAAUGCAAUAAUUCAAAUAGAACUCUGUAUUUAAAAGAAAGAGGACUGUGUAUUUGUUGCGAUGCGGGGGGGAUGAAGACGCGGCAACAUGGCGGUCGUCUUGGAGGCGAUGUUGAUGAUGAGUGUUUAUGAUUUUAUUCGUUUGUUCUAAUGAAGUUUACCUGUUUCUCUAAUGUGGCCCCUUUCCUCCUGCCAUAUGUAUUUAUUUUGCACACGACCUCGCCUGCUGCCUUUCUGCUGUUCCUUGUGUGAAUUAAAACAAGAUGGCUCCCUUGUGACUCGAUGACCUUAUUAAAGGACAAUGAACCAUA